GACGAACGCUGGCGGCGUGCUUAAUACAUGCAAGUCGAACGGAAAGGCCCUGCUUUUGUGGGGUGCUCGAGUGGCGAACGGGUGAGUAACACGUGAGUAACCUGCCCUUGACUUUGGGAUAACUUCAGGAAACUGGGGCUAAUACCGGAUAGGAGCUCCUGCUGCAUGGUGGGGGUUGGAAAGUUUCGGCGGUUGGGGAUGGACUCGCGGCUUAUCAGCUUGUUGGUGGGGUAGUGGCUUACCAAGGCUUUGACGGGUAGCCGGCCUGAGAGGGUGACCGGCCACAUUGGGACUGAGAUACGGCCCAGACCCCUACGGGAGGCAGCAGUGGGGAAUAUUGCACAAUGGGCGGAAGCCUGAUGCAGCAACGCCGCGUGCGGGAUGACGGCCUUCGGGUUGUAAACCGCUUUCGCCUGUGACGAAGCGUGAGUGACGGUAAUGGGUAAAGAAGCACCGGCUAACUACGUG
rnacentral:rRNA from 1 species